UGGGGUUUUGUAUACAGGGUACAGAUUAAGAUUUGGCUGAACCCUCACUGUAACCCCUAAAGAAACCGCCCUCUGAUGACAGUGUAUCCUCAGCAAUCACUACACUGACAGAUACGGGGCGAACAAGU